rnacentral:misc_RNA from 1 species
UAGCCAGCACCACCCUGCAACAGCA